rnacentral:rRNA from 1 species
GACGAACGCUGGCGGCGUGCUUAACACAUGCAAGUCGAACGCUGAAGCUCAGCUUUUGUUGGGUGGAUGAGUGGCGAACGGGUGAGUAACACGUGAGUAACCUGCCUCCUUCUUUGGGAUAACGCCCGGAAACGGGUGCUAAUACUGGAUAUUCACUGGUCUUCGCAUGGGGGUUGGUGGAAAGGGUUUUUCUGGUGGGGGAUGGGCUCGCGGCCUAUCAGCUUGUUGGUGGGGUGAUGGCCUACCAAGGCUUUGACGGGUAGCCGGCCUGAGAGGGUGACCGGUCACAUUGGGACUGAGAUACGGCCCAGACUCCUACGGGAGGCAGCAGUGGGGAAUAUUGCACAAUGGGCGCAAGCCUGAUGCAGCGACGCCGCGUGAGGGAUGGAGGCCUCCGGGUUGUGAACCUCUUUCGCUCAUGGUCAAGCCGCAACAAUGGUUGUGGUGAGGGUAGUGGGUAAAGAAGCGCCGGCUAACUACGUG